rnacentral:rRNA from 1 species
GACUAGCGCUGGCGGUGUGUCUUAGACAUGCAAGUCGGGCGGGAUACCUCGCCGUAGCAAUACGGUGGUGUGUCUAGCGGCGAACGGGUGAGUAACACAAGGGUAACCUUCCUCGAGGAGGGACACAACCCGUCGAAAGGCGGGCUAAUUUCCCAUGUUUUGCAGUGGAGGCAUCUUCGCUGCAACAAAGGCGCUGCAAGGUGCCACCUUGAGACGGGCUCUUGUCCUAUCAGCUUGAUGGCGGGGUAACGGCCCACCAUGGCGGAGACGGGUAGCCGGCGUGAGAGCGUGACCGGCCACAGGGGAACUGAGAUACGGUCCCCACUCCUACGGGAGGCAG